rnacentral:tRNA from 1 species
GCGGGAGUGGCGGAACUGGUAGACGCAGCAGACUUAGGAUCUGCCGCCUCACGGCAUCCGGGUUCGAGUCCCGGCUCUCGCA